ensembl:lncRNA
CCUUCUCCACCAAGUUGUCUACGACAUACUGUUACCUCUGCGUCAUCACCGACCAUUGAGUAGAGAGGCUGAGAGCACUUUGCAAACCUGAAUAAGGGAUAAGAAGGCAGUACCCCGCUGUGAAGAAAUCAGCAGGAACUUUCCCAGCCAGUUUCUUCCUGCGUUCUCCCUCCGGCCAUCAAGAAGAGGGGGCGGGGACCAGACUCCUGUCUUUCAAGCGUUAUCUUACCACAUGACCGCCACCCUGGCACUUACAGUGGAAACUUGCCGCUUCCAUUUCUAACUAGAGGAUCUUCCCGACCCAGGGAUAGGACCCACGUCUCCUGCGAGUCUCCAGCAUUGCAGGAGGAUUCUUUACCACCGAGCCACAAGGAAGCCCCGUGAUAACCUGUAGGAGAAACGAACCUGAAAAAGAGUGAACACGUGCACGCAUAUAACUGGA